rnacentral:rRNA from 1 species
UACGAAGGGGGCUAGCGUUGCUCGGAAUUACUGGGCGUAAAGCGCACGUAGGCGGAUUGUUAAGUCGGGGGUGAAAUCCUGGAGCUCAACUCCAGAACUGCCUUCGAUACUGGCGAUCUCGAGUUCGGGAGAGGUGAGUGGAACUGCGAGUGUAGAGGUGAAAUUCGUAGAUAUUCGCAAGAACACCAGUGGCGAAGGCGGCUCACUGGCCCGAUACUGACGCUGAGGUGCGAAAGCGUGGGGAGCAAAGC